GUCCCCGUGGUGAAAUGGAUAUCAUUGCUGGCUUCGAACCAGCCGUUGGGGGUUCGAAUCCCUCCGGGGACACCA
rnacentral:tRNA from 1 species